GAGCGCUAUGCGCUCACCUCCUGCCGGUCACUCCGGCUUUGCGCCCGCCGGGCCGGUGCGCCCUAAGGCGGCCACUUGUGCCGCCUUAUGGAUGCACCGGCGGAGCGCACCCUCCCUCUCUCCGGCGACCUAUGGCCGCGUGCCCACAGAGGGGGCUCGGCGUGCCACCUGUGGCACGCGUGCCAUAGGUUCGCCAUCACUGACAUAUACCGAC